GGUCACAAAAUUAAAUGGCUAUAUGAGUUAGCCAGGCAAUGAAAAUCAGUGAAAUGGUCCAGAUGGAAGACGACAAUGAGGAAUGUGGCCUGGAAAUCAGAUGGCCAGAAGAGAGGUGGCAGCUCCACCUUGAACCCCUACUUGUGCAUUCCAUAGCAUCAAGAGGACUGAAGCAGCUCCAUGCAUACCAUCCUCACACAAUAGUCUUCAAAAACCAGAAGAGAGAAGGAGAAUCAUGGGUCAUCACUUCCUUAAGAAAAUCUUACCUUCGGUCAAUCCUGGUUGCACACCAGAAUGAAAUCUGGACAAUUACAAUAUCCACUGAAAUCAAGAUGGCUUUCAUUCCCUUAUUCAUUUUAUACUCCAUAAUAUGUCAUUUUCUAGUAAAAAUGUGUUUAUAA
rnacentral:lncRNA from 1 species